CGCACCUUGCGCCCUCUGGUAUUCCGGAGGGCAUGCCUGUUUGAGUGUCAUUAAAUUCUCAACUUCAAUAGUUUGUAAUGAACUCAUUGAAGCUUGGACGUGGAGGCUUGCUGGCGUCUCAGAUGCUCGGCUCCUCUUAAAUGCAUUAGUGGAUCCCGUAUGUUGGGCUACACUUUGGUGUGAUAAUUAUCUACACUUUAGUUGGUUCAAUAGGACUCUAUCUGUGUGCACUUUUUCAGAGACGCUUUGUUGCUGGUUUGGGUUUGUGCACUCGUGCUUUACCUGGUCUAUUAGAGUUUAGGGCUUUAAUCUGCUUUCAAACCGUCUGUGUUAAUUGCGGACAAUCUUUGACUAUUUGACCUAAAAUCAGGUAGGACUACCCGCUGAACUUAA
rnacentral:misc_RNA from 1 species